AGCCACCUUAUCUCGUUUGCCGGAGAGGUAAACAAAAAGGCCGCGCGUGAAAGCUGCAACGGAGUAAACAGGGAGCGUGGACGCGUGCAAGCUCCAAAUGGCCCAAGGAGAGAUUUGGCAAGACCACCAUCACCACUUCCUUUCAGAAUGUGCAACAUAAGUGAAAACCAGCCUUUUUCAGAAUACUGCCUGCUGCUUUGAUGAAUCAAGGAUAAUGCUCCAUUUCUGGAUUUUGGGGUCCAGCCAGCAAAUCAGCCAUUAGCUCAAGAGUCAGCCCACUUUCCUAAAGUCCUUGGAAUAAUUAAGGGUCAAACCCAGUUCUUCUCUUUGCCUAAUCCCAUCAGACUCAAAUUGAACUUCCCUGCUCCAGACAAUGCACCCUGCAAUCCCAUCAAACCAGAGAAUAGAGGCCUCCUCACCUGUCACACCACUGCCCAAGGGCAACCCUUACAACAGAAUUGCAACACAGAACUACUCCAAAUUUGCACCUUCUCUUUAUCAACGGAUGACCUCAACAUUCCAUCUCCUUUAAUCAUGAACUUCCUCAGCUCUGCUGUCCUUCUGGACGGCCCAUCUUGCCGAACAAGGAAGCCACCACAGGUAAGUUGACAAGGACCUAGUUAGUUUCCUCAAACUAGCUUGUAAAUUAGAUCACCUAGGACUUCUGACCUUGUAGUCUUCAGAUUUCUAUAAAGGUAUUUGCAUGUCUAUUGUUUAGGGUCCCUCUUUCUCGUAAUGCAGGUACCCAAUCAUGCAAUAAACAUGGUUUUUGUCCUCAGCGUUGUGCUCCUUACUUGGUAAAGGCCAGGGCAAUGACUGUGAUCUGAUAUUUUGCAAUAUAUUUUGAUGCACCGAACAGAAAUGGUUCCAAUGACAUAUAUCUGAUACAUGUUUGAUUUAUCCCAGUUUAUGGAGUAAUCAAAAUAUCAAACUUUGUAUUAUUAAAGAAAUAGUGUAAGAAAGAGAGUUUUCUGCCAUAACUACAAAAAUAAGAUUGUAUAUGUACAGAGAAAUAUCUUGAAUGUCACUUACUACAACAUAACAUCGCUGAUGUUUUCAGAAUUUCAAAUAUCGCAAUCAAGACGUUCCAAAGUGAAAUUAAAAAUAAAAGCAGGAACAUACUUUAUAGGUAUCACAGCACACAAUUUAAAGGGUUAGCAAAACAUUAGUAAUCAUAACUGAGGAUUCAUAUAAAUGUUCAAAUUUCCAUAGAGCCUCUUAUUGGUCUCCAUGUAUUAUACUGAAAAUAAUAGUUAGAAACUACAUAUUCUGGAAAACGCCAUACAAAUGCAUACUAUAGUCUAAUAAAUAGGAAGACAUUAAAACAAGAACAUAAAGUAAAUAACUUAUUCCAAACUGGACCACUCCAACUGUAUCAGGAGAAAGCUAGUGUGCUAUUGUUUCUAAAUGGUGAUAACAUUUGAUCAAAAACAUAUAUUUCUAUUUUAAACUAUUCCAUUAAACUGAAGAGGAUAUGGUUUCCUAUAUGGAUAUUUAGCGCCAUCUAUUGACUAAAACUAUAUCUACAAGAUUAGAGUUUUUCAAAAUACAGGGAGGAGGAGGAUCAAGGGGAAAUUAGUUACAGAAAAAGAUAGGAGUGAAGUUUAUGAAGAAAGGGCACCUUGAAGUUAAACAUAUUUGGAACUGGUUGGUGUCUCCAUAACAGACCACUUAGAAACCCCAUAAACACUAUAUAAUGGAUGCGGAAGCCAGAUGCAAAUAAACUAAGUCAGUAAAUAGAUAUUUUAGGGCAGUGGUGGCGAACCUAUGGCACGGGUGCCAGAGACGGCACUCAGAGCCCUCUCUGUGGGCACAUGUGCCAUCACCCCAGUCCUAG